rnacentral:tRNA from 1 species
ACUCUUGUAGUUUAAUAAUAAAGCACUGGCCUUGUAAGACAGAGACGGAGAACAAACGCCCCCGAGAGUA